GUUUUCCUUCGAGACAUCCAAUAAAAUUGAAACGAUACAGAGAAGAUUAAUAUGACCCUGCCCAAUAACAACACACAAAUCAAGAAAUGGUAAAAAAAAAAU